GUCCUUGGAUUGUACACCUCUUUUAUCAGGGAAGAAGUUCUGACGGUACCUGAUGAAUAAGCAUCGGCUAACUCCGUGCCAGCAGCCGCGGUAAUACGGAGGAUGCAAGCGUUAUCCGGAAUUAUUGGGCGUAAAGCGUCCGUAGGUGGUUAUGCAAGUCUGCCGUUAAAGAAUGGAGCUUAACUCCAUAGGAGCGGUGGAAACUGCAAGACUAGAGUACAGUAGGGGUAGCAGGAAUUCCCAGUGUAGCGGUGAAAUGCGUAGAUAUUGGGAAGAACAUCGGUGGCGAAAGCGUGCUACUGGGCUGAAACUGACACUGAGGGACGAAAGCUAGGGUAGCGAAAGGGAUUAGAUACCCC
rnacentral:rRNA from 1 species